rnacentral:tRNA from 1 species
AUUUAUAUAGUUUAAUUAAAAACAUUACAUUUUCAAUGUAAAAAUAAAGUAUUUUUUUAUAAAUA